rnacentral:rRNA from 1 species
GGACGAACGCUGGCGGCGUGCUUAACACAUGCAAGUCGAACGGAAAGGCCCUGCUUUUGUGGGGUGCUCGAGUGGCGAACGGGUGAGUAACACGUGAGUAACCUGCCCUUGACUUUGGGAUAACUUCAGGAAACUGGGGCUAAUACCGGAUAGGAGCUCCUGCUGCAUGGUGGGGGUUGGAAAGUUUCGGCGGUUGGGGAUGGACUCGCGGCUUAUCAGCUUGUUGGUGGGGUAGUGGCUUACCAAGGCUUUGACGGGUAGCCGGCCUGAGAGGGUGACCGGCCACAUUGGGACUGAGAUACGGCCCAGACUCCUACGGGAGGCAGCAGUGGGGAAUAUUGCACAAUGGGCGGAAGCCUGAUGCAGCAACGCCGGGUGCGGGAUGACGGCCUUCGGGUUGUAAACCGCUUUCGCCUGUGACGAAGCGUGAGUGACGGUAAUGGGUAAAGAAGCACCGGCUAACUACGUG